CCUACGGGAGGCAGCAGUGAGGAAUAUUGGUCAAUGGGCGGAAGCCUGAACCAGCCAAGUCGCGUGAGGGAAUAAGGCCCUACGGGUUGUAAACUUCUUUUAUAAAGGAAUAAAGUGAGGCACGUGUGCCUUUUUGUAUGUACUUUAUGAAUAAGGAUCGGCUAACUCCGUGCCAGCAGCCGCGGUAAUACGGAGGAUCCGAGCGUUAUCCGGAUUUAUUGGGUUUAAAGGGAGCGUAGAUGGGUUGUUAAGUCAGUUGUGAAAGUUUGCGGCUCAACCGUAAAAUUGCAAUUGAUACUGGCAGU
rnacentral:rRNA from 1 species